rnacentral:rRNA from 1 species
GACGAACACUGGCGGCGUGCUUAACACAUGCAAGUCGAACGGAAAGGCCCUGCUUUUGUGGGGUGCUCGAGUGGCGAACGGGUGAGUAACACGUGAGUAACCUGCCCUUGACUUAGGGAUAACUUCAGGAAACUGGGGCUAAUACCGGAUAGGAGCUCCUGCUGCAUGGUGGGGGUUGGAAAGUUUCGGCGGUUGGGGAUGGACUCGCGGCUUAUCAGCUUGUUGGUGGGGUAGUGGCUUACCAAGGCUUUGACGGGUAGCCGGCCUGAGAGGGUGACCGGCCACAUUGGGACUGAGAUACGGCCCAGACUCCUACGGGAGGCAGCAGUGGGGAAUAUUGCACAAUGGGCGGAAGCCUGAUGCAGCAACGCCGCGUGCGGGAUGACGGCCUUCGGGUUGUAAACCGCUUUCGCCUGUGACGAAGCGUGAGUGACGGUAAUGGGUAAAGAAGCACCGGCUAACUACGUG